CACAUGUUCCUCAGCUAUGGUCAAACAUCACUUCAGGUAGGUUUCACCAUGUUUGGAGCCUUAGCACUGGACUCUAGGGAGGCGAAAAUUCCUGUAGGACCAAUAGAAACAAUCCUAACUUAAAACAUCACAGACUGGUAUGGGACAUGCCUGAUUCAAGAUCAGAAGGCUCUGCAGGGUGGAUCCUUGUUCUCCUCUCAUUGGAGCAGCGCCCCCUGGUGGAGAAUCUGCAACCUGCUAAAUGAAGGAGGUGACCAUGCAGGGAUGGAGAUAUUUUAGCUACACCUCCACGGAAUCGUCAUGUUGCUCAUCUUCAUACACAUGCUCUGAUCACAAAUGACAAAAAUGUUCACAUUUCAUAACCUAAACCAGCAACUGUUGAGCAUAUUUGCUGGAAAAACAGCAGAAACAAUUGAAAUUGUACAUUUAAUAGAAGAUGAAUCAAUACAUCUGCUAGUUUGCAAAGCGAUUUUCAUACUUUUCAUGUACUCCUACAUGGAAGGAGCAGGUGAGGCGAGUUGUGUUGAGAAAGUUGUAAUCUUAAUUUCAUCACAAGUAGGGAUGGGCAGGAUUUUCAAAUACUUGAGUGGACAUUGGUAGGAAAACAUGAAGUGUUUAUGCAAAAAAAAAAUUUGUCUUAAAAUAUAGGUAAUAUAUAGAUAAGAUGGCAGGAUGUAAUGUGCCAGAGUACUGUUAGUACACUUUGGAAAAGUGUUGAUAAUUGUGAAUGACCCCUUACAUAAAUUAAAACUCUUCCAGGUACAGUCUCCCACUUUAGAACCACUUGGGUCAAAUCUUUCCCAGUGAAAAUUGAUCUAUAUUUCACACCCAACCACUAGAUGGCACUAAAACAUACAGUGGUCAUUUAAAGUGGACGCCCUCCCUUUGAGGACUUUUUUUCCUGAUUGAUUGCUGAUUGCCCCUUCCAAACAAAAGUUUGAACAGCAGGUAGGUGGGGCAUUUGUGCCCCAAUAAAGCUGUCACAAUAUUAGGUAUAUCAACCCCCUCUGACAUCAUACAGAUCCAAAUGUAGAAAAACUGUCUGAAACUGAGUGUUUAGAGUACUUUGAAUCCCAAGCUUGUGAUUCACACAGAUUAUCUUACAUAAAUGGGCCUAAGUGUUUGAAGCUGAGACUCCACUACUGGAACAGUGUGUAUAUAAGAGAAAAUAGGAAGUGGUCUACUUUACCUAUACCUGUUUACCAAGCUGUAAGAGAAAUGAGACAGCUUCUCCGAUUAUCCAGUACUGGAAGAGUUUGGAGAAUUUAUUAAUUAUUAUUAUUAUUAAGAGCUGUUGAUGGAAAAAGUCCUUAGCUGGCCGGGUCUGAAAAAACAGGUCUGAGCAUCAGCCACAUCUGUGAAGUAUUGAUAAGACAAUUUGAGAUGAAGAGCCAGCCAGCUAACAGUCCCAUAGUUAGGCCACAAAAGUAAAACUCACACAAAGUUAGGUCAGACCAGCCUUUAAAAAAAAAAAGAACAUUUAAUUUUAAUUUAUAAAGAAUCUUUAAAUGUAAGCUGAACUUUUAACUUAUUCCCGUGAAGUGUGAAUUUGAAUUAGCUUUAGCAGAGUUUAGCUCCUGGGUCUUGAAAAUGGAAACAGAAGCAAAAUCCAGGAUAACUGUGAGUUAGUUAUAAUCCAGAUUCAGGAGCUUUGCAUCAACAACAAAAAAACAAAACAUUGAUCCCAGAAAUCGUGAAUGUGAACAAAAAAAGUGAAAAAGAUGUUUUCAAAGUUUGAAUUUUUGACAACAUCCUGCUGCACAAAUAUAACAUGAUAAAAAAAAA